CCUACGGGGUACAGCAGUGGGGAAUAUUGGACAAUGGGCGAAAGCCUGAUCCAGCCAUGCCGCGUGUGUGAAGAAGGCCUUCGGGUUGUAAAGCACUUUCAGUGGGGAAGAAAGCCUUGGGGCUAAUACCCUCGAGGAAGGACAUCACCCACAGAAGAAGCACCGGCUAACUCCGUGCCAGCAGCCGCGGUAAUACGGAGGGUGCGAGCGUUAAUCGGAAUUACUGGGCGUAAAGCGCGCGUAGGCGGUCUGAUAAGCCGGUUGUGAAAGCCCCGGGCUCAACCUGGGAACGGCAUCCGGAACUGUCAGGCUAGAGUGCAGGAGAGGAAGGUAGAAUUCACGGUGUAGCGGUGAAAUGCGUAGAGAUCGGGAGGAAUAACAGUGGCGAAGGCGGCCUUCUGGACUGACACUGACGCUGAGGUGCGAAAGCGUGGGUAGCAAACAGGAUUAGAUACCCUAGUAGUC
rnacentral:rRNA from 1 species